GGGCGUCUCUUUCUCAUUGCGAGUGGAGGCGCACCCAGAGCGUACACGCUGAUACCCGAAAGAUGGUGAACUAUGCCUGGCCAGGACGAAGCCAGGGGAAACCCUGGUGGAGGUCCGCAGCGAUUCUGACGUGCAAAUCGAUCGUCGGAGCUGGGUAUAGGGGCGAAAGACCAAUCGAACCAUCUAGUAGCUGGUUCCCUCCGAAGUUUCCCUCAGGAUAGCUUGCGCUCAUGUGAAACGAGUCUCAUCCGGUAGAGCGAAUGAUUAGAGGCCUUGGGGUCGAAACGACCUCAACCUAUUCUCAAACUCCAAAUAGAUGAGAACUCCGGCUUUCUUGAACUUUGUUUUUGAAGCCGGGGGCUCGGAUCAGAGUGCCGAGUGGGCCGAUUUU
rnacentral:rRNA from 1 species